CAAUGAUAUUGUUUGAUCAGGAUAUCUACAGUGGCUGGUUACCUUCCUUCAGAUGUUCAUGGUUGUUCUGCUUUUAAUUUUAUGCUCGGAGAGGACCUACCCUGGACCACUCUAGCAUUAAGAUCAAUGUUCGCUAGUGGUAAUGGUGAAGGUUUAACUACAUACAGAUUACGCACAAAGGCUGGAGCCUGGAUCAAUCUUCAGUCACGUGGUUUUCUCGAGAUCAACAAGGAAACUGGAAAUAUUGAUCACUUCUUGUGUAUCAAUACAUUACUGAGUGACGAGGAGGCUGAGAGAAAUCUAGAGGAGCAAAGAGAGAGAUAUACUCCAUUCAUUACAGAGCUUCAAUACACGGGAAUACAGGGACUAGAGAAACUGGGGAACGGAGGAGCAUUAUCCUUAUCCAUCCCUGAUAUAGGAAAAGAGUUGAAUCGAAUGAUUAAAGCGGAUCCAGGUGUGGUUCAACCUAGAAAUUCUAAACUUACUUUUAAGGAUGUGUCAGGAUUUUCUUCUAGAUCUGAAUCUAUGUCGCACUCUAGCACGCUAAUAUCUAGAAUAGAAAAGACUGAAUUAGGGAAGAGUUUAACCCGACGAAGUGUCCUGGACCUUCAGGAGAGUGGAGAUGAGAAAUACGACAGAGAGAGAAAGGAAAGAUCGAUCAAACCUGAGCCUGAACCUGUAGAAUCAAAACUAUCCCGACAAGAACUUGUGGCUCGAGCAAUAGGAAUAAAAAGAGGGGGCUCAGCGCCCAGACCAGGAACUGGGAAAGGAGGAGGUGUUAGUAAAGGAAAGAGUUCUUAUUGUAGUAGCGCUAAUCCAGCGGCAUUGGCGCACAGUCCUGGCGGUAUAAAACGGAAACACGAGUCGGAUAAUUGGAGAAUUACCAAACCUACUCCUACUGCGGAGUUUCUCGGUCUUCAAGACAAUGAUGCAAUUCUGAAUCAAAUUCUGCUCUUGUCACAAGACGGUGUGGAGGCCGGGAGUUUCCUCAAACAUGAAAACGAAUUGGAAACGGGAAAAUCUGAUGAUUUUGGAGAUGUCAAGAUCGAGGAUUUUCUUGACUUCGGAUCAACAAAACCACAAAGAACUCCGCAGGGGUCAGACGCUCUUAAACCUGAAACCAAUCAUGACUUAGAUCUCUAUGGAAGUAGACAAGCUGCUGCAAACAUGGAUAAUAUAAGUUCUGGCCCGGCAGAUCCAAGUUUUACCAUUUACCCAUCUCAACCUUUUAAUUGUACAAUCUUUAAACCAAAAGAUGAAAGCGAAGUGCCCUCUGCAUUUGUAAAAAUGGAUUUUCCAAAUACAAGUUUACUCAGAGACAAUAUGGAGACUUUAGAGAACAGUUUGUUUCCUAUAUCGGGCAGCAUGGAGACGGGGUUUAGCAGAACCUCAUAUCUUGCAACUCCUUUAAAUACCAGCAGCCUGUCCUACGAGGGACGGGAGAGAUCACCAGAAACUAGUUUAAGAGAAACAUCAGUUAUUAAGAGACUUAAGGGGGCAUCCAAUGAAGAGGAGAAACGUGAAAUUCCAUUAAGACGAGAUAUUGAUGGAUUAAAUUCAACAUUCACCUUUCAUCCAGAGAGCUGAUGAAUGGUUAGAUGUACAUUGUACAGUAUAGUUCUUCACUUGAAACAGUACCGUAUACUGUACUAUUCAUGUACUCAACUACAAUGGUAAACAAAUUGGUUUUAUAUUUAUCAAUGUUAGAUUAUCGUUACAUGCAUGUACUUGUACACUGUACAAUGCACUAUCCUGUUAUUGUACAAUUUGCAUGUACUGGGUAGUGGGUAGUUAUACUAGCAUUACACCAUGUACAGUGUGUUUGUGUAUAUUGUAAACAAUUCCACAAGUACAUGUAAACUUGUGUUAGUAGAAAAAAUUGCUCUAUGUAACAUGAGUUUACAAUUCAUUAUGUACAGUGUAAUGUAAAAUGCCAAGUACCUGUAUAAUAUUGAAGUCAUGACUGAACUAUUAAAUUAAAUUGUAACUUAUGAACUGCAAUUUAUUCAUUACAGAUUUAAACAAAUAUAAAAAUAUGUUAUUUUGUUAUAAUUGUUAAUUGUUAAAUGUUUCUAAAACUGGUGAACUAUUUGUUAAAAAAAUUGAGUCGAUCCUAUGGUCAACAUUUUUAAUUUUUAACUUUAAUUUAUCAAUUAAAUUUUUCAAUUCCAUGAUAAGCCCACUUUCGAAUGCAUUGACAGAUGCCGGUUUGGUCAGAUUACACUUUGCUAUACAAACUCAUUUUUACCUGAGUACAUUACAGUACAGUACAGUACAGUACAGUACAGUACAGUACAGUGCUAUUGCGAACUAAAUACAAAUGUAAAGCUUUGAAUAUAAUUCAUUAACGGCUAAUUAGAAAUGUACUGCAGUAAAUGUAAUUCACUGUACGGGUAUGAAUUUGAUUCAAUAAAUAAUUAAAAUUUAAA
rnacentral:misc_RNA from 1 species